UACGUAGGGACCAAGCGUUGUUCGGAUUUACUGGGCGUAAAGGGCGCGUAGGCGGCGCGGUAAGUCACUUGUGAAAUCUCUGAGCUUAACUCAGAACGGCCAAGUGAUACUGCAGUGCUAGAGUGUGGAAGGGGCAAUCGGAAUUCUUGGUGUAGCGGUGAAAUGCGUAGAUAUCAAGAGGAACACCUGAGGUGAAGACGGGUUGCUGGGCCGACACUGACGCUGAUGCGCGAAGCCAGGGGAGCAAACGGG
rnacentral:rRNA from 1 species